GGUUUAUGGAAACAAUUGUGGUUUUAUGAUUACUUUCCCAAAAUUUUUUUCAUUUAUGAAAUUGUUUUCUCUCUCUUCCCCCUCUCUCUCUCUCUCGUACGCUCUCCCUCUUUCUCAUCAUCCCACAGUUUCAUCUCUCUCACUCCCCAUCUCAUCCUUCACCAUAACAUCCACACCACAACCUCCACCACCAUCUACGAAUCAAUCAAUCGUCAUGAGAGUGAGGGAGUGGCCGAGUGAGAGAAGAUUUACCGGCGGGAGAGAAAUUCUGGUGAGGAGGAGGAGUUCCGGCCGAGAGAGUUCUUGUGGCCGUUUGUGGUGACACGGCGGUGCUCGGCAACGGCGGCGACGAAGCUUCUUGCUCCUUCUUUCCUCUGGUUCGAUCUUAAUUUCUAUGCUCUAUUUAUUUUUUAUUUUUUUUCGUUGUUUUUUUUGUUGGUGAGGAUGGUUGAAGAUCGGAGGUGAUGGUGAUGUGUGGUGGUUAUGGUAGAUGGUGAUGUAUCUCCAAAUUCAUCUUCUAGAUUUCAUCUUUCUCAAUUUGUCAAUAUUCAUCUCUCUAUUACCUUUAGCAUUCUAUUUGUCAUUGUAAUUGCAUUUGUAUCAGAUGGUUUGAGUACAGUGCCGGACAAAGCAUCUGUCCUUUCUUCAAACACAUCCUUCAGCCAUGAAUUUCACGAACAUGGGGAUCAGAUAAUAAAGAAUUGCUUCAGAGGGAAGUUGGUUUUUGGUGGUUAUUCAGUUUCAGAUCAAAAUCACCGGAAAAGCCAGUCGCGCCACCACCACAAAAGCUUUCUCUAUGCGACAGACAGGAGGGUUUAGAGCAAAAAGUAAAGAUUCUGGAAAGCAAUUUGAGUUCUUUUAGUGAGAAAGAGAAAAAAGAAGUAUCUGGAUUUGAAUAGAACAGUUUUUGGUGAAUGUGAAGAUGGCUAUUGUGCACUAUCAAAAUUUGUUAUCUUUCUCGCUUUCUUUUGGCAUACCUGGCAACGGGAAUGAAUGACAUGGAGCACACACAACAAUGGUAGCAGCCUCCGAUGUAGAGGUUUGUGUAUCUCAUCUCAGCUCCAUAGAAUAUUUCUGGUUCUACUUUAGCUAGAUCUAUCCAUUUUGCUUAGAUAAAGGGUGGAUUUUGAUCUAGCUUGAAGGUUUUGAUCAUCUGAUAUAAGAGAGAGUUCCGACCGAGAGAGUUGCGGUGCUUGGCGAUGGAGGUGAUGAAGCCUUUUUCUCCUUCUUUCCUCCGGUUCGAUCCUUCAUUCGGAUGAUCAUCAACAAUCUAUUGAAGAAGAGAAGGCUUGAUUUGUGGUAUUUCUUUGAUGUUAAUACUCCCAAGAUGAAAAGAGAUCUCAUGAAGCAGCUUUGGCGAAGUGCAAGGAGUUAGAAGAACAAUUGCAAAGAUAUGAACCAUCGUUACAAAUUGCAUCCUGAUGUUCGUCCUUACGCAAUGAUGACCAGGACAGGAUAUAUGGAGUAUGAUCCCAUGAAGCCCCGAGGAAAGCUUCCAGAAAUCUAUGCACGUUCCAUUGGUCAAUACAUGUGAUACGGUUUUUUUGGAGGAUGUUAACAAGAAUCAGAUUCAAGUUGGUGUGCACAAAAAGAGUUCUUCAAAAAUUUAUUUUACUGAUGGCUGGUCAAUACAUAGGUGAUACGGUUUUUCUGGCCAGUGGCGUGAUAUUUGCAAAGUCCACCAUUUGGCUGAGGGUGUAACUGUGAGCUUUGGUGUCACUCAAGCAUCCAACAACAGGAUCAUAUACUUCAAGCUAUCCCCUUACAUUGGCAUACGAACUACUCUCAUUGCUCCUUCAACAUCCAGCAAGCGGAAGAAAUUUUAUGAGACUCAGCAUUUCUAUAUGCUCUAGGAUCCCUACUAUCUUGCUUUAGAACUAUCUUGCUUUUAUUUAUUUCUGAACCUAUGUUGUAAUAUCUCUGCCAAACUUGAUUUUCAUGCUUUUAGGCUUGGCCAUUUUGAGCUUGUGCUGUGCUUGCUCUAUUUUGCUUUAGAACUAUGUUGAUUUUCAUGCUCAAGAGCUUGGCCAUUUCGAACUUGUGUUGUAAUAUUUCUACAAGACUUUAUUUCCCUGCUUUUCAUAGUGCUUGCCCCAAUGCUUGCUCUUUUAUGAUUGA